CCUACGGGGGACAGCAGUGGGGAAUAUUGGGCAAUGGACGAAAGUCUGACCCAGCAACGCCGCGUGAAUGACGAAGGUCUUCGGAUUGUAAAGUUCUUUUCUAAGGGAAGAAGAAAGUGACGGUACCUUAGGAAUAAGCCUCGGUUAACUAAGUGCAACCAGCCGCGGUAAUCCGUAGGAGGCAAGCGUUAUCCGGAUUGACUGGGCGUAAAGGGUGCGUAGGUGGUUCAGCAAGUUAGUAGCGUAAUUCCGGGGCUCAACCUCGGCACUGCUACUAAAACUGGUGGCCUUGAGUGCAGGAGAGGUAAGCGGAAUGCCUAGUGUAGCGGUGAAAUGCGUAGAUAUGAGGAAGAACACCGGUGGCGAAGGCGGGUUGCUGGACUGUAACUGACGCUGAGGCACGAAAGCGUGGGGAGCAAACAGGAUUAGAUACCCGAGUAGUC
rnacentral:rRNA from 1 species